CUGGAUGUACCCCUAAACGUAGGGGUACCCCUUUAAAUCCUACAUCCCCGGAUAGCCCUGAUCUAGGUGCACAACAUAUCCAAAAAUCACCCAGAUCAGACCAGGGGUUCGGGAAAUAUAUGGAGGGAAUAAAAUGACCGACCGCACUAACUGAGACAGCCGAAUGUGGUUCCAUACGAAUGGGCCCUGCGGUCGGUCCUGGAAUAAGGGAAC